GUUGGAUUUCUGGGUGGGAGUGCUUGGUCGGCCCUAGCSGGUUUGCACUGACGCGCUUUCGCCAUCCUUGGGGAGAGCUUCCUUGGCAUUAGGUUGUCGAGGUCGGGAUCCCCAUCGUUUACUGUGAAAAAAUUAGAGUGUUCAAAGCAGGCUUACGCCGUUGAAUACAUUAGCAUGGAAUAAUAAGAUAGGACCUUGGUACUAUUUUGUUGGUUUGCGUACCUAGGUAAUGAUUAAUAGGGACAGUUGGGGGUAUUCGUAUUCAAUUGUCAGAGGUGAAAUUCUUGGAUUUAUGGAAGACGAACUACUGCGAAAGCAUUUACCAAGGAUGUUUUCAUUAAUCAAGAACGAAAGUUAGGGGAUCGAAGAUGAUUAGAUACCAUCGUAGUCUUAACCAUAAACUAUGCCGACUAGGGAUUGGCGGUCGUUUUUCCGACUCCGCCAGCACCUUAUGAGAAAUCAAAGUCUUUGGGUUCCGGGGGGAGCAUGGUCGCAAGGCUGAAACUUWAAGAAAUUGACGGAAGGGCACCACCAGGAGUGGCCUGCGGCUUAAUUUGACUCAACACGGGAAAAMUUACCAGGUCCAGACAUAGUAAGGAUUGACAGAUUG
rnacentral:rRNA from 1 species